rnacentral:rRNA from 1 species
CGGAACGUGCCCGAUCGUGGGGGAUAACGGAGCGAAAGCUUUGCUAAUACCGCAUACGAUCUACGGAUGAAAGCAGGGGACCGCAAGGCCUUGCGCGGACGGAGCGGCCGAUGGCAGAUUAGGUAGUUGGUGGGAUAAAAGCUUACCAAGCCGACGAUCUGUAGCUGGUCUGAGAGGACGACCAGCCACACUGGGACUGAGACACGGCCCAGACUCCUACGGGAGGCAGCAGUGGGGAAUUUUGGACAAUGGGCGAAAGCCUGAUCCAGCCAUGCCGCGUGCAGGAUGAAGGCCUUCGGGUUGUAAACUGCUUUCGUACGGAACGAAAAGCCUCUUUCUAAUAAAGAGAGGUCAUGACGGUACCGUAAGAAUAAGCACCGGCUAACUACGUGCCAGCAGCCGCGGUAAUACGUAGGGUGCAAGCGUUAAUCGGAAUUACUGGGCGUAAAGCGUGCGCAGGCGGUGAUGUAAGACAGAUGUGAAAUCCCCGGGCUCAACCUGGGAACUGCAUUUGUGACUGCAUCGCUGGAGUGCGGCAGAGGGGGAUGGAAUUCCGCGU